GAACGCACAUUGCGCCCUCUGGUAUUCCGGGGGGCAUGCCUGUUCGAGCGUCAUUACAACCCUCAAGCUCUGCUUGGUAUUAAGCUUCACCUGAAAAGGCGGGCUCUAAAAUCAGUGGCGGUGCCAUUCGGCUUCAAGCGUAGUAAUUUUUCUCGCUUUGGAUGACCGGCUGCGUGCCUGCCAUAACCCAAAUUUUAUCAAAGGUUGACCUCGGAUCAGGUAGGGAUACCCGCUGAACUUAAG
rnacentral:misc_RNA from 1 species